rnacentral:lncRNA from 1 species
AAAUGCACUGUUCUACCCUGAGAGCUCAGUGACUAGCCUUUUGGCCCAGGGUGAACUGCAAUGAAGAGCAGGCAGAAGUUCCAUGUGAGCAGAAGCCACAAGGCAAGGAAAAAACUCUUAUCCAUGGGAAUAAGGAAGUGGAAUAAGGAAGUAGAGACUCGGGGAAGCCUACUAACCUGCCCAGCAGGUAGUCUAUUUGGAAAACCUACUCUCCCAACCAGCACACCAGGCACUCUCAGAUUGCUGCCUAAGCAACACUACAUUCCAUGCAAACCCCUAUUAUACAAGCGAACAGAGGGAAAUGUUAAAAGGAAAUGAACAAAAUGGGUCAUUAGUGGUGGCUCCUGUCCCUGAAAUGGUCACCCAGGGCCUCCCUUCCUGCCCAUUAGUCUUUUUUUUUUUUUUUUUUUUUUUUUGUGUUUUUGCUAUUUCUUGGGCCGCUCCCGCGGCACAUGGAGGUUCCCAGGCUAGGGGUCGAAUCGGAGCUGUAGCCACCGGCCUACGCCAGAGCCACAGCAACGCAGGAUCCGAGCCUCGUCUGCAACCUACACCACAGCUCACAGCAACGCCGGAUUGUUAACCCACUGAGCAAGGGCAGGGACCGAACCCGCAACUUCAUGGUUCCUAGUUGGAUUUGUUAACCACUGCGCCACGACGGGAACUCCCCCAUUAGUCUUUAAGUCAUGUCUUUUGGGGAAUGGGGGUGCUCAGCAUACGGAGGUUCCCAGUUAGGGGUUGAAUAGGAGCUGCAGCGGCCGGCCUGCCCCACAGCCACAGCAACACAGGAUCCAAGCUGCAUCUGCGAACUACAUCCCAGCUCAUGGCAAUGCCAGAUCCCUAACCCACUGAGCGAGGCCAGGGAUUGAACCCAUAUUUUCAUGGAUACAAGUCUGGUUCAUUACAGCUGAGCCACAAUACGAACUCCUAAGUCACUUCUUUUAAGAUUGUCUAAGAGCCUUCCCCCCGCAUCAUACCCUCAUCAGGAGUGUUUUUCAUCUGCUCUCAGGAAUGUUUUUCCUUUUCACUGACUCUACUUAAGUUGAGUAGAAGGCAAAGCCCAGGAAGAAGGGCACUGCAGUAGCCCCCUUGGGGAGAGGCCACCCAGCCCACAACACUGCCACCUCUCAGAACGUUUCCACUCUCACCCAAGAAUGGUUCCCAAGCAGCACGGCGCCAGUACUUUUCUUUACAUUGAUUCAUCUUAUUCUCCCAAUAACCUUAAGAUGUAAAACUGAGAUUAAGUGCACACUCCAGCAGCACACAUACUAAAAUUGGCACAAUACAGAGAUUACCAUGGCCCCUGCACAAGGAUGACAUGAAAACUGGAGAAGCGUUCCAUGUUUUUUAAUCAACUAUAUUAAAAAAAAAAAAAAUUUUAGCAGUUUCCAUUGUGGCUCAGAGGGCUGAGAACCUGACAGUAUCCAUGAGGAUGUGGGUUCGAUCCCUGGCCUCACUCAGUGGGUUAAGGAUCCGGUGUUGCUGUGAGCUAUGGCAUACAUAGGUUGCAGAUGCAACUCAAAUCUGACAUUGCUGUCGCUGUGGCGUAGGCCAGCAGCUGCAGCUCCAUUUCAACCCCUAGCCUGGGAACUUCCAUAUACCACAGGUGCAGCCCUAAAAAAAAAAGUUGUUAAAUUAAACUGAGAAUAAGCAAAUCAUACAAGGCCACAGAUCUCUAACAGGCUAUCGUCAUGAUCUUAACACAAGUCUGUCUGCCUCCAAAACUCAUGUUCUUUCCUCUGUUCACUGCUGCCUCCAAAACGGAAAGGUAAAUGGGGAUAAGAUGCAAGCAUAACAAGGGUUUUUGCUUCGUUUUCUCUCUCUCUCUUUCAUUUUUUUUUAGAGGCCACAGCUGCAGCACAUGGAAGUUCCUGGACUAGAGGUCGAAUCCACAUCUGCAGCCUACUCCACAGCUUGUGGCAACGCCGGAUCCUUAACCCGCUGAAUGAGGCCCAGGAUUGAACCCACAUCUUCACAGACAUUAUGUCAGGUUCUUAACCCGCUGAGCCACAAUGGGAACUCAGUUGCUUCAUCUUCUUUUCAUGGGCAUCACUAGUUUUCAUAACAGAUUUUUAUCUUUCACCUUUAUUUUGGCAAUGACCCAUUUGUGAAAUACCAAACAGCCCCCUGACCUGCUUACCAAGCUGGUCAUAAUGGUCUGGGGAGUUUGUGCCCAUGGCCAUGUCCAACCAUGAGAUGCAGUGUUGAAACUGGUGGCUGUCCCAGGGGUUCUCAGUUGGAAUUCUCUUCUGAUGAGAUUAUCACUGAUGAGAAAUUUUUAAAGGCCUGGGAGAAAACCUCCAAGGCUACAUCUGAGUGCAGUUGAAAACAUGUGUGUAAUAUCCUGAUGGGAGCUCUUCUCUAUGUGCCCAACACUGCCUAGGCAAGCGGAUCCAGGCACACGCCCCACAUACAAAUAAACGCCAGAAUUUAAAUCGUUCAUGUCCUAGUUUCAAAUAAUUUCACUGUGGGCUUCUAUUUGUCCAGUCUCUUCAAAUAAUACCACACUGAUUUGAGAGAAGAAAAUAUCUAUUUCAUGUAUAAAAUCAGUCAAUUGAUUCUGGAGUUCCCGCUGUAGCACAACGGGAUUGGUGGCAUCUCUGGAGCGCCAGGAGGCAGGUUCAAUCCCCAGCCUGGUUCAGUGGUUAAAAUCCCAAGUGGCCACAAGGGCAGCUCAGACCUGAUUCCUGGCCUGUGGACUCCCUAUGCCACGGGUUGGCCUAGGUAAAUAAAUAAACAAAUAAAUACUUUUUAAAAUUUUUAUUCUGAAUGCCAAUAUAUGGCAGGUACUAAAGAUCCGAUAGUGAGGAAGUAAGCACCCUCUCCUCCAAGAAGGAACUUUAGGCUUUAACUCAAAAGGUGUUUCUGCAAUUGUAUAACAGUACUAAUAGGAGCUUCUUUCUGUUGAUGCAUUACAGGUCGUUUGAGCAUCACAAUAAUCCUGGGGUCGGUGGGGUAGGUUUUACAAUCUCCAUAUUAUAACUGAGAAGCCUGAAGAUGAGAGAAAUUUUGUGUUCCCCUCCCCCAGAUCCCAUAAGUUGUAAAUAACAGAUCUGAGAUUCAAACCCACUUAAUCUAGGGGUCCCUUUAUAGUCAAAAGUGCGCUUUCAUCACACGUUAGAUGAUUUUUUUUUUUUUUUUUUUGGUCUUUUUGCCAUUUUCUAGGGCCGCUUUCGCAGCAUAUGGAGGUUCCCAGGCUAGGGGUCUAAUUGGAGCUGUAGCCACCAGCCUACCCAGAGCCACAGCAACACGGGAUCCGAGCUGCGUCUGCAACCUACACCACAGCUCAUGGCAACACCGGAUCAUUAACCCACUGAGCAGGGGCAGGGAUCGAACCCGCAACCUCAUGGCUCCUAGUCAGAUUCGUUAACCACUGCGCCAUGACGGGAACUCCUAGAUGAUAUUUCUUGAUGAUGCUCAAUUUCCUGCCUGUGGUACUCCAGAGUAAAGGUUAGAAAACUCCAGCCUGUGAGCUAAAUCAGCUGUCCCCUGAUUUUUAAGAAAUAAAGUUUCACUGAAACACGGCCCCAUGCAUUCACUUGCUUUCAUGCUACGACAGCAGAGUCGAACAGUUUCGACACAGACUGUACAGCCCCCAAAGCCUAACAUACCAUUCUGGCCUUUUAGAGAAGCUGGCUGACCACUGGUCCACCAUAUAAACUCAACUUGUCUUCCUUCUGAUUUUGAUCUAUGGCCAGGGUCGUGGGUCAAUCAGAUGCCAGGAUCAGGGUUCAGUCUGGGACUAUCCAAGAUGACAAUUCUACAAAUUCUACCAUUCCUAGGGGUUUUCUCCAUCAACUUGACCUGAAAUUUUACUGUGUGUCCCUACCUCUUCUGAUAGACGUAGGGCCCCAGAAGAGCAUAUGACUUCAUAUCCGAAGGAGGAAAUAUUGUGCAUAAACAAGGAGUUGAUUUGCUAGACAGGCACCCUCAUUAACUCUACCUAUAGCACGGCACAUUCCAUUCUCCGUAUGUAACAUCUAACUCAAGAGGGGGCUACCCAAGAAUGCACUUGGGUGCACUGGACUUGGUCCAAAAGUCAAGCGGACUCUCUAAGACCAAUCUUGCGCUUUCCCAGCUGUGCCUGAAUUUGAAACAGGUUCUCCCUACUUUGCAAUUCUCAUGGCAGACCAAGCAAAUGUGCGUACUGAAUGGUCAAGGUUUCACACAGCCCAUGUGUCCCUAUCCAAAGUGCCCUAUUUGACCCCUUCACAGCAAUUUGGUCCUUUUUUUUUUUUUAGGGCCCCACAUCUGCAGCAUUUGGAGGUUCCCAGGCUAGGGGUCAAAUCAGAGCUAGAGCUGCCAGCCUACACCACAGCCACAGCAACUUGGGGUCUGAGCCUCACUGUCAACCUACAUCACAGCUCAUGGCAACACCAGAGCCUUAACCCACAGAGUGAAACCAGGGAUCGAACCCACAUCCUCAUGGAUACUAGUCGGGUUCAUUAACCACUGAGCCAUGAUAGAAACUCCCCCUCAGAGUAAUUCGAAUCCAUCCAUGAGAGCCUCUCGGCCUGGCACUUUCAGCACUCAUUAAUUCAGUAAACAGGCCCUGUAGUAGGCCUUCGUUCUCUCUUUGAUGCUAGGCAAGUUGGGGAAAGAGAGGAGAGCCAUUUAAUGCAGACCCUACAUUGACGAAGACCUCAGAUUCACUGUUGGCCUCAUCUGCGGAAGAACUUAGAGUCACCGUAGAAUUAUAUUUGAUUCUGGACCAUGGUCAUUAAAAUCUAUGUUGAAUUAAUAUGGCCUGAGAACAUCUGCAAUAAUUUAUGGAUAACAUUAUAAAACAACAUUUUUAUCUUUUGUGAUUAAAAGCACUAAUUUGUUAAAUGUAAGCAUUUCAAAUAUCCUGCCAUAUCUGCUUUAGUCAUUCUUCAUAUUUUCAUUUAUCAGGUGCUAUAAAGAUCAGAAGAAUCCUGAGCUGCUUUUGGCUCCCAGAGAGAGGGCGCAUGUGCCUCCAUCAGAUUAAUCAAUAAAGAUGGGCCGUAAGUGGACGCUGACCUUUCUGAUUAUUCCUAACAACAUUCCAUAAUUGGGUAGGUUUCACUUCCUACCAAAAUGCAGGCUUCCAGAUACCCUGCCCUAACCUAAUACAUACACUCAAGUAUCAUUAAAGAAUGAGUGGAGUUCCCAUCGUGGCACAGCAGAAACAAAUCUGACUAGGAACCAUGAGGUUGCAAGUUCAAUCCCUGGCCUUGCUCGUGGGUUAAGGAUCUGGUGUUGCUGUGAGGUGUGGUGCAGGCCACAGACGUGGCUUUGAUCCUAUGUUGCUGUGGCUGUGGCAUAGGUUGGCAGCUCCAGCUCCGAUUAGACCCCUACCCGGGGAACUUCCAUAUGCCACAGCUGCAGCCCUAAAAGACAAAAAA